UCGGCACCUGAAAUGGAGAAGAAACACUGGCAUGAGGGUCUUGAAGAAGUGACUCAUUUCAGUGCUAGGAUAUUCAGCUGAAUUCAACAAGUGUUGCCUGAGCACAGGCUCCAGGUAAACGUUUGCUUAAUUAAGGCCUUCUGUAGCACUGAUACUGCUGAUAUCUGGCAUGAAGCGCAAGACUUGCAAUUCAAUGACAACAAACAGGUCUACAAGGAGAGCACGACUUCCCAUUUAAAACCAACAAACAAGAAGCUUUGAAAACAAGAUAAAUGGAAGUGUCACUAAUGAAUAUGCAUGAAGGUCUUUCUCCUGUAAUCAUUGGUUAGGCGAUUCUGGCAGUAUUUUGUAGGGCACAUUAUUCUGCUUUGGAACUUCGAGCCAAGUCACCGAGGUGUCUUCUAUUAAAUCAAUUAGCCUGGAAGGAGAACUAAGCAAGAUGAGAAACUGAACGUAUCUGUGACUCUGCAAGUAGUCCUGACACACUCUCCCUGACACUGUGGUGGGAUCCAGGCCCCGACGCUGUGGAUAAGGGCUGCUGUGGCCAAAAUAAUUAUUGAUAACAGAAUUUUUGAAUCAAGAGAACUACUCUAUCCAAUGAGCUAAGGCGAGAAAACCUGGCAGCAAGUACAAUGUCCUACUGUGAUUAUUUCAGGAAACCAGCAACACGGGGACAGAUAAAAGUAAGAAGCAGGUUACCUUCGCUCUCUGGUUUUGGAACCACACCUGGACGACACGGACACUCAGCCCUGUCUCUGCAGCCAGAGUCUCUCUCACCUUGGAAAAAUUGAACGAGAAAUGUAGACACACUGGCAUCUCAGGGUAGGAGGUAGAACAUCUCCUAUAUAAUACAUGAGGAGGCCAAAAGACUGUAUCUGCUUUAGGAGCUGAAUAGUUUUUAAUGUUGAGCAUACACACAAACACGAGAACAUUGCUUCCCUUCAGGUAGAAAGAAAGUCCUUCACCAGGUAACUUUGGGUGUUUCAUGAAUAUCCAUAGUGACUGCUACCCCGAGUGAGCCCUGCCCAAAGAGAAUAAGAUGAGAGCCAUCUGGAACCCGGCAGAGCCAGAUAUGACCCUAGCCAACAUGUAGAGCUGGUUUUGUAGACUGUGCCUGUGUGCUUGUGAGAAAGCAGAGCAACAGAGGGAGGCAGAGUUGGAGCUAGUUGCAGAAGGAAAGUGCAAUUUCUGAAGUUUGUUCAGAGCCCCAGAGGCAGGAUGGCUAAGGGCCUUCUGGGGUCCUCCUACUGCUGUUGCAGUACUCAGCCUUGCCUGGGACAUGUGUACAUCCCCAAAGAACUGCUGUGCCAUCGUGAACCAACAGAGAAGAGAGGGGAGCAGAACACCUCCUAGCAGGGGCAGACCUGCCUGACUUGGAUAUCAGCUUCUCCCUGAAAAUAUGCAGUGCCUAAAAUUUACACUGAUCAAUUUGUUCACGAGAAAGGACAUUUCUAAAAGAGCCAGGAGACUGCCCCCAGAACCAAGAGGAGUACUGGAGAGCAGAAGAUGAAGAAAAACCUUUAAACAGCAGAGCAGUGAAGUGGAGGGAGAGGCGGCCCCUCUCCUUUGCCAGAGACUCCCACUCCCAGAUGCAGGCCGGAGCGAUCCCUCAUAAUUUAAGCUGACACCCCUCAGCGGAGAUGAAAGGAACACCACUCGCUGCUCUCCAACAACAAAUGUCAGCAUCCCUGGAGGCCAUUUAGACACAAACGCAGCAUAAAUCUGACUCCUAGUGGGGAAGUCCAGAGAUUAAGUCUCCACGUACAGCCUACCAGAGUGAAAUGAAUUUGCUUGGCACAAAGUUUGAACAUGUUUCU